UUAGAGUUUGAUAGUGGCUCAGGAUGUGUGAAUCGCGGUGUGCCUUAUACAUGCAUGUCGAACGAGGCGUAGAAUACGUCUAGUGGCAAAUGGGUGAGUAAUAAAUAGGUAACCAACCCUUAAGACGGGGAUACCCCAUCGAAAGACGCUCAUAAUACCCGAUAAUGUCCCUUCCGGUGCGCUGGAGGGGAAGAAAGAUGGCGCAAGCUAUCACUUUUGGACGGGCUUAUUUCCUAUCAGCUAGUUGGUGAGGUAACGGCUUACCAAGGCUACGACGGGUAGCUGGUCUGAGAGGACGGUCAGCCACAUUGGGACUGCGACACGGCCCAGACUCCUACGGGAGGCAGCAGUCGGGAAUAUUCGGCCAAUGCGCGAAAGCGUGACCGAGCGACACCGCGUGGGCGACGAAGAUCUUAGGAUUGUAAAGCCCUUUUGCCAGGGAAGAAUACGCUGGAGACAAUAUCAAUAGCGUUUGACGGUACCUGGCGAAUAAGCCGCAGCAAACUACGUGCCAGCAGCUGCGGUAAUACGUAGGCGGCGAGCGUUAUCCGGAAUUACUGGGUGUAAAGGGUCCGCAGGCGACUUGUUAAGUUAAGAGUUAAAUCUCAAAGCCCAACUUUGAGGCCGCUCUUAGGACUGGCAAGAUAGAGUGUAGAAGACGGAAGUGGAAUUCCUGGUGGAGAGGUAAAAUCCGUAGAUAUCAAGAGGAACACCUGUGGUGAAGACGGCUUCCGAGUCUAUAACUGACGCUCAUGGACGAAAGCUAGGGGAGCAAACAGGAUUAGAUACCCUGGUAGUCCUAGCCCUAAACGAUGAAUACUUGGUAAUAGGGAGUACAUACUCUUUAUCGCCGAAGCUAACGCAUUAAGUAUUCCACCUGGGGACUACGGCCGCAAGGUUGAAACUCAAAGGAAUUGACGGGGGCCCGCACAAGCAGCGAGGCAUGUGGUUUAAUUCGAUGCUACACGAAGAACCUUACCUGGGCUUGACAUGUAGUGGAAAGCAGUAUGAAAGUACUGCCCUUGUUGUAGCAAUACAACAACCGCUAUGCAGGUGGUGCAUGGUUGUCGUCAGCUCGUGUCGUGAGAUGUAAGGUUAAGUCCUUAAACGAGCGCAACCCCUGCCACUAGUUGCCACCGGUUCGGCCGGGCACUCUAGUGGGACCGCUAGUGAUAAACUAGAGGAAGGUGGGGAUGACGUCAAAUCCUCACGCCCCUUAUGUCCAGGGCUACACACAUGCGACAAUGGUAGGGACAGCAGGAUGCGACGAGGUAACUUUGAGCCAAUCCUCAAACCCUGCCCCAGUACAGAUCGAGGGCUGCAACCCGCCCUCGUGAAGAUGGAGUUGCUAGUAAACGCAGGUCAGCUAUACUGCGUUGAAUACGUUCCCGGGCCUUGUACACACCGCCCGUCACACCACCCGAGUCGUGUGCACCCGAAGUCGGCAACCUCAACCGCAAGGAGAGGACCGCCGAAGGUGUGCUCGGUAAGGAGGGUGAAGUCGUAACAAGGCAGGUGUACGAGAACGUGCGCCUGGAUCACCUCCUUU
rnacentral:rRNA from 1 species